rnacentral:rRNA from 1 species
AGUGAACGCUGGCGGUAGGCCUAACACAUGCAAGUCGAACGGCAGCACAGUAAGAGCUUGCUCUUACGGGUGGCGAGUGGCGGACGGGUGAGGAAUACAUCGGAAUCUACUUUUUCGUGGGGGAUAACGUAGGGAAACUUACGCUAAUACCGCAUACGACCUACGGGUGAAAGCAGGGGAUCUUCGGACCUUGCGCGAUUGAAUGAGCCGAUGUCGGAUUAGCUAGUUGGCGGGGUAAAGGCCCACCCAGGCGACGAUCCGUAGCUGGUCUGAGAGGAUGAUCAGCCACACUGGAACUGAGACACGGUCCAGACUCCUACGGGAGGCAGCAGUGGGGAAUAUUGGACAAUGGGCGCAAGCCUGAUCCAGCCAGACCGCGUGUGUGAAGAAGGCCUUCGGGUUGUAAAGCCCUUUUGUUGGGAAAGAAAAGCAGCAGGUUAAUACCCCGCUGUUCUGACGGUACCCAAAGAAUAAGCACCGGCUAACUUCGUG